rnacentral:rRNA from 1 species
UACGGGGGGGGCAAGCGUUGUUCGGAAUUACUGGGCGUAAAGGGCUCGUAGGCGGCCAACUAAGUCAGACGUGAAAUCCCUCGGCUUAACCGGGGAACUGCGUCUGAUACUGGAUGGCUUGAGUUUGGGAGAGGGAUGCGGAAUUCCAGGUGUAGCGGUGAAAUGCGUAGAUAUCUGGAGGAACACCGGUGGCGAAGGCGGCAUCCUGGACCAACACUGGCGCUGAGUGAGCGAAAGCCAGGGGAUCAAACGGG